AAUCAACGCUGGCGGCGUGCCUAACACAUGCAAGUCGCACGAGAAAGGGACUUCGGUCCUGAGUACAGUGGCGCACGGGUGAGUAACACGUGAAUCAUCUACCUUCGAGUGGGAAUAACUGGGAGAAAUCCUGGCUAAUACCGCAUAAUACCUACGGGUCAAAGCAGCAAUGCGCUUGAAGAGGGACGCGGCAGAUUAGUUAGUUGGCGGGGUAAUGGCCCACCAAGACGAUGAUCUGUAUCCGGCCUGAGAGGGCGCACGGACACACUGGAACUGAAACACGGUCCAGACUCCUACGGGAGGCAGCAGUGGGGAAUUUUGCGCAAUGGGGGAAACCCUGACGCAGCAACGCCGCGUGGAGGAUGAAAUCCCUUGGGAUGUAAACUCCUUUCGAUAGGGAA
rnacentral:rRNA from 1 species